rnacentral:tRNA from 1 species
GCCGGCGUAGCUCAGUCGGUAGAGCAUCGGUUUCGUAAACCGAGGGUCAGCGGUUCAAGUCCGCUCGCCGGCUCCA